rnacentral:rRNA from 1 species
AUUGAACGCUGGCGGCAGGCCUAACACAUGCAAGUCGAGCGAGCGGCGGACGGGUGAGUAAUGUAUGGGGACUGCCCGAUAGAGGGGGAUAACUACUGGAAACGGUGGCUAAUACCGCAUACUAUCGGAUAACCCAUAUGGGAUUAGCUAGUAGGUGGGGUAAAGGCUCACCUAUGCGACGAUCUCUAGCUGGUCUGAGAGGAUGAUCAUCCACACUGGGACUGAUACACGGCCCAGACUCGUACGGAGGCAGCGUUGGAGAAUAUUGCACAAUGGGCUCAAGCCUGAUGCAGCCAUGCCGCGUGUAUGAAGAAGGCCUUCGGGUUGUAAGGUACUUUCAGUCGGGAGGGGUUACCGACAGAAGAAGCACCGGCUAACUCCGUGCCAGCAGCCGCGGUAAUUC